AAGAAAAAGAGAUUUUAUUGAUAAAUAUUUGUGAGUACAAUUCUAUGUAUCCCUUGAUUCUCCUCUCUAAAAUGAUUCGAGGGCUUGAGAAGCGUCUUUCUCGAAUGUAGGGCGAUGCAGACCUCCUUGUGAUAUAUUUAAUCGCCAAGAACGUUGAGCAGCACUUUGUUGUUACGGGUUGAUCUCCGGGAAGAACUCCGUUGAUCACUCCUUUGUUGAAGAACUAUGCACUUGAUGACUGAUCUCUCUGUUUGUGGAUGCCUUCACCAAUUGCGAAGUGUUUUUCUCCAACUCUGAAUGUCUUGAGAGUUAUGCAACCCCUCUAUUUAUAGUUGUAGAGGAUGGACAGUCCAGCUACACAUGAACUCUCUUGCUUGAUUCUGAUUGGCCCAUGCCAUUUUAAGCCACUUGAUGACAUGUGGUUGGUUCUUGCUUUUUGACUUAGAUUGCCACAUCAUUUAACACGUGGUGUCAUCUUUUUGGCAUACAGUUUGACUAAAUAAAUCAUGUCACUUGACACAUGGCAUGAAUCUGGGCCUUAAGAUGAAAUGAACCUUGGGCUCGAAAAUAAUAAAAUGGACAAAUUUAACAUGUAAAGCUCAAAUUAAUUAUUUAACCCAAUUGAAUUUAAUCCAAUUUUUAUAUGGAUUAGACCCAAUAAAUUUUAUAUGUCUAAUCAUGAUCUUUCAACAUAAUAAUAUACCUUAAACUUUGAACUUAUCAAAACAAGAAAUUUGAUUAAGACAAACUAAAAUCUAAAAAAGAAAUUAUAAGCAAGCUAACAAAAGCUCAAAGUCAGAAAAGAGAACGAAGCUUGGGCCAAAAAGGACCAAUAAAAUGCUCCUAAAAGCGUAACUCCACCAUGCACAGGUUUUCAACUCAAACAUUAACUCCACCAUGCACAAAUUUUCAACUCAAAUAUUAAGUACUUUUUUCUAAACUUUUGAAGUAAAAUCUUAUCUCAUAACAGUUAAGUAACUCAAUAUUGACUAAUAUGGGGCUCAAGUGCAUGUUAUUGAGAACUGACAAAUUUAACAGAUAUUCAGAACCGAAAUAGUAUGCACCUUUCGAGUAAAACCAAUAGCAAAUAAAUUUAAAAUAAACUGGAGCGAGCUCAUGAUAUUAUCUCGUCAUUUGUUGCAUUCAAAUCUACAUCGCAAAGGUAAGAGAGAGUACCUUACCGGCAGCAAAAUCAAGACAAAACAGAAAGGGCUUCGAUACCAGUAAAAACUACUUGAACACAGCUCCUUUCAGCAACAAAACAGCAGAGAACAGACCCCAGAAAAUAUCCAGAAAGAUGACCCAAAAUUCAGUACUUUUGAGGAAAACCAGAAACCAGAACUUCAAGGAUUCUAGUAUUUGAUAUGAAAAGUUUUUGCUCUCCAGAAUAUCUCUUCAAACCACUCAAUUUUCAGCUUAUAUUAGAUAUGUUCAACUGAACUUUUCACUCUCUUCGUUGUGUAUUUUUCUUAGAGUGAGAGAUGUCUAAGUGUAAGAUCAGAGUGUAUAAUAGAGUGUGUGUUCCUUUUCAGUGAGUAAGCCUCCUUAAAUAGGCAAAUAAAGUCCCUUUCUUGGGACAGAUUUUGGUUCACCAAAAAUCUAUCCAAAAGACUAACUUUAUGUGCUAAACACUGUUCAAGAUCUGUCCCAAAGGUGAAAGGACAGCCUGAAAAAGGGACUUUAUUUGAUCAUGUUUAAAUCAAUAACAAAUCUAACAAACCACUAAACUAAAUAGAGAUAACUAAUUAAAUAAACCUAACUUGAAACUCUAAUUAACAAGAAACAACCAAAACAGAAAAAAUUAAAAAUCAGAAACUAAUCUACUAAUAUAAAAAAUCAGAAAUUAAUUAAAGAGAUGACGGUUAUACCUAACAAGUAUGCUUGAAGCUGUUCGAGCCACGAGAAGACGUCGGAGAUGCUAAAAGGCGACUACCCGACUCCGAAAAGCACGUUUCUUUCGGGUAGAUGCUAAAACGAAAUGCGUUCCAGCUUCUCGCCAAAAGAAAUGAGUGUCUUUGAGUAGAAAAUAGCUAAGAUGGGGGUUCGGGGCAUUUUGGCGGUGGUGAGGCAGUGGAGUCGUGGCGGCGGUGAGGAGCGGGUCGGCGACGACGGGGAUUUUGGGGAUGAAAUGGGUAGGAAAAGAUAGGUCUCGUGGAGCUCUAUCCAUUCAUGUAUGUGUUGUAGGGUGGUGUUGGCCGGAGCUUCAAGAAUUUGGACCAAAAAGUGGCGGCUAAAGUUUCCUAGAUCUAAAAUUCAAGGAGUUUGAGGGAUUUUUGAAGGAAUUGGUUUAGAGAUAUGGGAAGAGGAGGUUGUGGAGAUUACAUGGUAUUAANNN
rnacentral:lncRNA from 1 species